GCCUACGGUCAUGCCACCCUGAAUGCUCCUGAUACUGUCUGAUCUCGGAAGCUAAGCAGGGUCUGGCCUGGUUAGUACUUGGAUGGGAGAAAUGGGGAAAUCAUUUAAAAUGUUAUUAGCU
ensembl:rRNA 5S_rRNA 5S ribosomal RNA